rnacentral:rRNA from 1 species
ACGAACGCUGGCGGCGUGCUUCACACCUGCCAGUCGAACGGAAAGGCCCUGCUUUUGUGGGGUGCUCGAGUGGCGAACGAGUGAGUAACACGUGAGUAACCUGCCCUUGACUUUGGGAUAACUUCAGGAAACUGGGGCUAAUACCGGAUAGGAGCUCCUGCUGCAUGGUGGGGGUUGGAAAGUUUCGGCGGUUGGGGAUGGACUCGCGGCUUAUCAGCUUGUUGGUGGGGUAGUGGCUUACCAAGGCUUUGACGGGUAGCCGGCCUGAGAGGGUGACCGGCCACAUUGGGACUGAGAUACGGCCCAGACUCCUACGGGAGGCAGCAGUGGGGAAUAUUGCACAAUGGGCGGAAGCCUGAUGCAGCAACGCCGCGUGCGGGAUGACGGCCUUCGGGUUGUAAACCGCUUUCGCCUGUGACGAAGCGUGAGUGACGGUAAUGGGUAAAGAAGCACCGGCUAACUACGUG